AAUGAAUAAAAAUUAAAUCAAAAAAAGUAAAAAAAUUACAACCAAAGGAGAGCCCGAUUCAGACUCCCUGUCAGAAAUAUGAGAUAAACCAACUCAAAGACCACUGAUCUAUAGCCUUUCUCCAAGCUGAGUAUGUCAAAGUUCCCUAUAAGCCUCAAUGGGACUAUGGGCAAUGCUCACACCCAAAUUGUAUUAUCAGAAUGGGGACAAGUGCAGUAUGGAAGGGCCAACCCUCAAGUGUCCAAGUUCAUAGGAAGCUCAAUGAGUCCCAAGGCAAGGCUCAUAAGAGGGGGGCAAAACUUAAAGACUAAGAGAGAGUGCAAGUGCAGAAACAAAUCUAUGUGAACUAGGGAAGUAAAGGAAAAGGGAAGGGAUGCUGGGAAAUAGUUAUAGAAUUAACAACUUCACACAAAAGAAAUUCAAGGGUUGGGACUAAUUGCAAAGAGUCCUUGUGCUUGGGCAUUAAUUGAUUAUGGGCAUGCGCAUAAAUAGGGAAUGAUAUGCUCAUAAAACCAACUAGAAUAUACAACAUACUAUAAAGACAUGAGGUUAUGAUCCCAGGGGAUCAUGUUUGAGUCACAGACAAUAAUACUUUAAUGCUGUCAUGCCUCACAAAACCAUUUAUGUCAAACAUACUUAGGAUACACAAUAGAGGUAGAGCAGGCAGAAGGAAAAUGCUAAACAAGUAGUGAACUAAACAUAUAAGUAGGCAGCCAGGAGGAAAAGGUGUUAAAUAAACACAUAGUUGUGAUGAUGAAUCUUAAUUAGAACAUACUAAUUCAAAAGAAAGCAAAUAGAGAAAGAAGUAGGCAGCAUGACUCGCAAACAUACCACAAGUAAUAAGAGUGAAUACUUUUAAGUAUGAGUAUAAGGUCGAAUACUACAAGUGUUCAUGUGUUUUCUUUUUGUCAAUAAAAGAGUAAGGUAUUUAUAGUGUGAAAACUGGCAGAAAAUAAGGUAAGGAUUGUAGUUCAGAAAUAAGUAGGGAAAUAUGUGUCAAUUAAAGUCUGAUCAAUAUCAAAGACUUCCUUUAAUUAAGAAAUUAAAUCAAAUGGUAGCAUGCAAGUGCUAAAUAAGGAAAGAAAUCACAUAGGGCCAAAUAUGACCAAUAAGGAAGUAUUUACAGCAUAGUAUGAGUACACAGUAGGUAAUAGAGGCUAGAUUCAUCAGACUUUAAUCAAGGAAAGAUCUAUAAGAAUCCCAUGCCAAUGUAGUCAAGGUAACGGGAUUAAAUUAACUCAAGUAGAAAAGGUCGGGGUAGGAAGUUUAAAGGAAAAUAUUCCAACAAGUCCA
rnacentral:lncRNA from 1 species